rnacentral:rRNA from 1 species
GGGUAUCAAACAGGAUUAGAUACCCUGGUAGUCCACGCUGUAAACGAUGAUUACUAGUUGUUUGCGAUAGACUGCAAGUGACACAGCGAAAGCGUUAAGUAAUCCACCUGGGGAGUACGCCGGCAACGGUGAAACUCAAAGGAAUUGACGGGGGCCCGCACAAGCGGAGGAACAUGUGGUUUAAUUCGAUGAUACGCGAGGAACCUUACCCGGGUUUGAACGCAUAGGGACAGCAGGUGAAAGUCUGUUUCCAGCAAUGGCCCUUUGCGAGGUGCUGCAUGGUUGUCGUCAGCUCGUGCCGUGAGGUGUCGGCUUAAGUGCCAUAACGAGCGCAACCCUUAUCGUCAGUUACCAGCAAGUAAAGUUGGGGACUCUGGCGAGACUGCCGGCGUAAGCUGUGAGGAAGGUUGGGAUGACGUCAAAUCAGCACGGCCCUUACAUCCGGGGCGACACACGUGUUACAAUGGCACGGACAAAGAGCGGCUACCGGGCGACCGGAUGCCAAUCUCCAAACCGUGUCUCAGUUCGGAUCGGAGUCUGCAACUCGACUCCGUGAAGCUGGAUUCGCUAGUAAUCGCGCAUCAGCCAUGGCGCGGUGAAUACGUUCCCGGGCCUUGUACACACCGCCCGUCAAGCCAUGGGAGUCGGGGGUACCUGAAGUCCGUAACCGCAAGGAUCGGCCUAGGGUAAAACCGGUGACUGGGGCUAAGUCGUAACAAGGUAACCGUA